CAGUCUCUACAGUUGCCUCUGAAUCUACAUUUAGCACGGGAGGGAGAACAAUUAACUCAUUUCGUAGUUCGUUGAGUCCUGCUAUGGUUGAGGCUUUGAUUUGUACACAGAAUUGGUUGAAGUCCACUUCAAUAUCUUUAGAAGUUGAGCCUACCAUUGAAGAGAUGGAGUUCUAUGAAACAAUUGAGUCAGAAAUGAAGAAAUCAAAUGCUAUGGGGCCUUUACAUGUUUCUUGUGAUUGAGAAAGGAAAUGAAGACAUGCUACGUAUUGUUUUUUGUUUUUUGAAAAUUCUAGUUUGAUUUGUAUUAAUUAGUUGGAUAUUGAAGUUUAUUUCUAUUUGUUAGCAAAUGUGGGAUUGUAUGCA